rnacentral:rRNA from 1 species
GGCCUUCGGGUUGUAAACCGCUUUCAGCAGGGAAGAAGCGAAAGUGACGGUACCUGCAGAAGAAGCACCGGCUAACUACGUGCCAGCAGCCGCGGUAAUACGUAGGGUGCAAGCGUUGUCCGGAUUUAUUGGGCGUAAAGAGCUCGUAGGCGGUUAGUCACGUCGGAUGUGAAAACUCAGUGCUUAACACUGAGCCUGCAUUCGAUACGGGCUGACUAGAGUAUUGUAGGGGAGACUGGAACUCCUGGUGUAGCGGUGAAAUGCGCAGAUAUCAGGAAGAACACCGGUGGCGAAGGCGGGUCUCUGGGCAAUUACUGACGCUGAGGAGCGAAAGCGUGGGGAGCAAACAGGAUUAGAUACCCUGGUAGUCCACGCCGUAAACGGUGGGCGCUAGGUGUGGGGAACAUUCCACGUUCUCCGUGCCGCAGCUAACGCAUUAAGCGCCCCGCCUGGGGAGUACGGCCGCAAGGCUA